rnacentral:rRNA from 1 species
UACGGGGGGAGCAAGCGUUGUUCGGAUUUACUGGGCGUAAAGGGCUCGUAGGCGGCCAACUAAGUCGGAUGUGAAAUCCCCAGGCUUAACCUGGGAACUGCAUCCGAUACUGGAUGGCUUGAAUUCGGGAGAGGGAUGCAGAAUUCCAGGUGUAGCGGUGAAAUGCGUAGAUAUCUGGAGGAAUACCGGUGGCGAAGGCGGCAUCCUGGACCGACAUUGACGCUGAGGAGCGAAAGCGUGGGGAGCGAACAGG